CCUUGAAUAGCACUAGGUACUUGUGCAUGGGCAGCUGAACCUGCUUCUGGUGGGCAGCCAGCGGAACCAGGCUGACUUUGUGCUAGUGGAAGGAUUUAGAUACAUGAGCAGAGGUUUCUAGUUCUGCUGUAUAAACCGCAGUCCACACAUGGCAGAGGGCACAGAUCCUGAAGAUCCUCUGUCAGAACCACUGGUCCUGUUGGGAAGUCACUGUGCCCUUUGUAUUCCAGAUGAUAACUCCUUCCUGCAACCAAACCAUCCAUCUCUGCUAGGUGGGAGGACAGCCUAGACACACAGUGCUCGGACAGACUCCUACAUACACCCACAAGCAGGUUCCUUUAUUUGGAGCUGAAUUCCACUCCCAGUUUACCAGAGGUCAUCUCUUGCCUAAGAAGAGCUGAAUGGCACAUCUCUGCAGAACCCAGGUCAUGGAGGACCUACUGACAGGAGAUUAACCAUCAGUUUAGUGCAAGCUUGUCAGUGGGGGAAGGCAGAGAUUCUUCCAAUUAUCUUCAAAAAUGAGAUUCCUGAAUGGUACAAACUCUGUCCUCAAUGAUACUGAUACAGUGCCAAUAAAGUCAAUGAGAUUACACGUGUUUGAAUGAUGGCAGAAGACACUCCUGCAUGUUUACUGCAUUUGUCAAACACAUUCCAAAGGAUAAAAAGUGUAUAAAUAAAUGCAGCCUCUGUCCUGUCACUCCGAGCUUUCUGGUAGAACCCCACACAAACUUUCUACAGGACCUUGGGCUGUCACCACAGAUGUCUUGCUGACCCCUGGCCGACCCCAAGAACAGCUCCCAACCAUGAUCCAUCUACAACCUUCAAGGAUGCAUCACAGCACAGUUGUGAGUGGGACAGAAUAGCAGCUUGGAGGGGCAGUGCCUGACAUUGGAGGGACUGCUGCAGCACAUGAAGCCUUGGAAACCUGCAGCAGGGACCCUGAAUCUGAACAGAAAUACCUGAACUCACACUUCAACAGAAAGAGGACUUCAGCAGGGAAGCACAGAGAGGAAAACAGCUUUGUGUUAACAUUUCCAGAGGUUGAAGAGAAGCUGCAAGGAUCUGUGCCAGUCUUUCACCUCAGCUCUCUCUUGCCUCUUCC
rnacentral:lncRNA from 1 species